UACGGAGGGUGCGAGCGUUGUUCGGAAUCAUUGGGCGUAAAGCGCGCGCAGGCGGCUUUGCAAGUCUCUGGGUCAAAUGCCGGGGCUCAACCCCGUGCUCGCCCGAGAUACUGCGGAGCUGGAGGCAGGUAGAGGCGAGCGGAAUUCCGGGUGUAGCGGUGGAAUGCGUAGAGAUCCGGAAGAACACCGGAGGCGAAGGCGGCUCGCUGGACCUGACCUGACGCUGAGGCGCGAAAGCGUGGGGAGCGAACAGG
rnacentral:rRNA from 1 species